ensembl:lncRNA
AGAUUGUGGAGUACAAAGAUGUCCAAGCCUGCUUCUCGUAGCUCUCAGCUGCUGCUGUCGGAUCAGAAGUGUGCUAAAUGUCUGUUGGAGACGUAUGUCAAGCGGAGCCUCAGCCUGAAUGAAGGAUGCAGGAAACAUCAGCUAAAUAAACACAAAUGGCUUAAACCAGACAGGCAGUCCAGACGGGCGUCCAGUGACACCUCCACCCAGCGUUUGAGAGUAGAGAGGCUCCUGAAGACCAGCGAGUGCCCUGAAUGCACAACACCAGAACUUGUCACUAGGAGAAAGAGCACCAAAGCACCAAACAGAACCAAAUCAUUCUUCAGAGGCUUUCUCCACCUCUUCUCUAAGAAGAAGACCGAGCCCAAAGUGAAAGAUGAGCGAGUUACAGAAACAGACUCUGGACAACAUAUGAUAGAACGGGGGCUUCGCUCUUCUCAGAAAGGCUCAUCUGGCCUCAGUGUGAGGAAAAAACACUCUCUGAGAAGGAUCUUCUUUAGCAAUCAAAAUGAUGAGAAAAGAGAGUCCCUGCAAAAGGACUCCUCUCGUGUUCGUGGAGGCGUGGAGGGGCUUUCAGACGUGAGCGUGGACUCUGAUAAUACAUACUUUGAGAAGGUGUCAGAAGAACUGGAGUUGAUUGUGAAGGAGAUUCAGUUCAGUCCAAAAGAAGAUGCUCCGCUUCUCUCUUCUGCUUCUGCAAGAGACUGCAGCUCUUCAGGUGAUGACACUACAGAGAGGAUUACCAGCCUGCUGAAGCAACAUGGGGAUAUUAUUGAUCAGAAAAUAAGCAGGAACAAGAGUGUCCAAGACUUCCUCCAGAAACUGUCUUACAGCUCCUUCCAGCAGCUGGCUGAUCGCUACAUAGCGCAGAUCCCCAGUCCUCUUCCCCAGACCACAGACGCCUCCCCUGAGCUGGUCAGACUCGCCUUCACCCUGGACUUUACCGCCAAAGUGGCUGGAUUGUGCAGCCAGACAGUCGGUCGGAUCAUGGGGUUUGGUAACCAGUACCUUCAGGAUUCCUUCACACAAAUGUGUGCAGCCCACAGACAGGUGCCAGAAGAUUUGGAAGAACAGAGUACAAGUGAUACAGACUGACUGUGAAGUCAAAAACGACAAAAAAAAAAAAAGAUAAAAAGUGCAAUAGAGUUAACUCAGGGGGGGGGGAAACUGAUGUAUUUGUAGCUGCUUUUGUGAAUAAGCCAAAUUUAGUAGUUUGUUUAUACUAUAAGUUUACAGUGACUGACUGUGAAAAUUACAACAGUUGAACCUGAUACUAAAACUGUGAAUAAUAUUUGUUUUUUUUACACCAAAUUAGCAUAUUCUACUGAUUUCUGAAUGAUAAUGUGACAUUGAAGACUGAGUAAUGACUGCUUAUUUUAAAUUAUAAUUGAGCUAUUUUAAAAUGUAUUAAAAUAGAAAAAAGUUCUGUUAAAUUGUAAUAACAUUUCAAAAUAUUGCUGUUUUUACUGUAUUGUUAAUUAAAUAAAUGCAGCCUUGGUAAAUAUAAGAGACUUCUU